UACGUAGGUGGCGAGCGUUGUCCGGAUUUACUGGGCGUAAAGCGCGCGCAGGCGGUCCGGUAAGUCUCCGGUGAAAUCGCCCGGCUCAACUGGGCGGGUGCCGGGGAGACUGGCGGACUUGAGGAGCCUAGAGGCCGGUGGAACUCCCGGUGUAGUGGUGAAAUGCGUAGAGAUCGGGAAGAACACCAGUGGCGAAGGCGGCCGGCUGGGGGUGUCCUGACGCUGAGGAGGCGAAAGCUAGGGGAGCAAACGGG
rnacentral:rRNA from 1 species